rnacentral:rRNA from 1 species
UACAGAGGGUGCGAGCGUUAAUCGGAAUUACUGGGCGUAAAGCGCGCGUAGGCGGUUUUGCAAGUCGGAUGUGAAAUCCCCAGGCUUAACCUGGGAACUGCAUUCGAAACUGCAUGGCUAGAGUAUGGGAGAGGGAAGUGGAAUUUCAGGUGUAGCGGUGAAAUGCGUAGAUAUCUGAAGGAACAUCAGUGGCGAAAGCGACUUCCUGGACCAAUACUGACGCUCAUGUGCGAAAGCGUGGGGAGCAAACAGG